ACGGGUGAGUAACGCGUGGGAAUCUACCCAUCUCUACGGAAUAACGCAUGGAAACGUGUGCUAAUACCGUAUACGUCCUUCGGGAGAAAGAUUUAUCGGAGAUGGAUGAGCCCGCGUUGGAUUAGCUAGUUGGUGGGGUAAAGGCCUACCAAGGCGACGAUCCAUAGCUGGUCUGAGAGGAUGAUCAGCCACACUGGGACCGAGACACGGCCCAGACUCCUACGGGAGGCAGCAGUGGGGAAUAUUGGACAAUGGGCGCAAGCCUGAUCCAGCCAUGCCGCGUGAGUGAUGAAGGCCCUAGGGUUGUAAAGCUCUUUCACCGGUGAAGAUAAUGACGGUAACCGGAGAAGAAGCCCCGGCUAACUUCGUGCCAGCAGCCGCGGUAAUACGAAGGGGGCUAGCGUUGUUCGGAUUUACUGGGCGUAAAGCGCACGUAGGCGGACUAUUAAGUCAGGGGUGAAAUCCCGGGGCCCAACCCCGGAACUGCCUUUGAUACUGGUAGUCUUGAGUUCGAGAGAGGUGAGUGGAAUUCCGAGUGUAGAGGUGAAAUUCGUAGA
rnacentral:rRNA from 1 species